rnacentral:lncRNA from 1 species
GGUCUGAUAAAUAUUAUAUUAAGAAUAUUUCUUCUACCUUCCUGAUGGACAUAAGAUGUUCAUGAAUCUUAAGACAUUCUUUUUGAAAAAAAAAAUUUGGUGAAAGAACUCAUGCCGUUAAGAGCAAGCUUGGUGAGCUCGAUAGGUAGAGGAACCAACUCUAACACAAAUUAAUAGAACCAAAGUUGAUUAAUUCCAAUCCAGAGCUCGAUGUAAAGGUAUCUUUGAGUAUAUAUGGUAGAAUACCGUAUCAGUCAAACAGAUACUUCAAUUUUUAGGUUCGAGAUGGAGAUU